AUUGAACGCUGGCGGAAUGCUUUACACAUGCAAGUCGAGCGGGCAGCGCGGGGGCAACCCUGGCGGCGAGCGGCGAACGGGUGAGUAAUACAUCGGAACGUGUCCUUAAGUGGGGGAUAGCUCGGCGAAAGCCGGAUUAAUACCGCAUAAGCUCUGAGGAGGAAAGCGGGGGCUCCGUAAGGACCUCGCGCUGUUGGAGCGGCCGAUGUCGGAUUAGCUAGUUGGUGGGGUAAAGGCCCACCAAGGCGACGAUCCGUAGCUGGUCUGAGAGGAUGAUCAGCCACACUGGAACUGAGACACGGUCCAGACUCCUACGGGAGGCAGCAGUGGGGAAUUUUGGACAAUGGGGCAACCCUGAUCCAGCCAUUCCGCGUGAGUGAAGAAGGCCU
rnacentral:rRNA from 1 species